rnacentral:miRNA from 1 species
AACCCGUAGAACUGAAAUCGUG